UUCUUGAUUAGUAGGACUGUUGAAGUUCACUCAUUCCUUUACCACCGCCGGGAUUGAGGGCCUACGUAGUCCUGGGCUGGUCUAUGGAUAUGGCAAUCUUUGGGUUGGAAAGUUCUGGAGGCUGGAAGUCCGAAAUAAAGGUGUCAGCAGGAUCAUGUUUCCUCUGAGACUAGAUUCUUUUCCACUGUAGGGUAUUACAAGAUAUUGAAUAUAGUUCUCUGUGCUAUACAGUAGGUCCUUGUUGUUUACCUAUUUUAUAUAUAGUAGUAGUGUGUAUCUGUUAAU